UCCGCUGGGUGGCGCUCCGCAGUAAUUCAUACUGACUAGCGUCUGCCAGAAUUCAAUAAGGUGCCUGCUAUUUCGUUUAUUUGUCAUCUUGGGUAGAGUUGUGCGGUACCGACUACUGACACAGAUUACGGAUAACAUAGAUAGAACACUCGCCUUUCCCAAACCCCCCCCCCCGAAAUUAAGUUUUAGUUAUUGUCCCGGACGCUUGGAACCGCUGCUAGUCAUUUGUUUACGUUUGGUUUGCUCUUGCAAUAUUAUUUUAACCUAGAAGCUGAAAAUGGACGUUUGUCAUUGAAGUUGUUCAACUAAGUACAAUUCUCGUACGCCGUAGAAAUUCAUUUGAAGAAAAAAAAUACUUCCAAAUUUCGAGAAUGCCUAGACUAAAGAAAUGUUGUGUACAAGGAUGUACCGAUGAGACAACAAUGAGUACAAGAAAUCAUUUCCCUAAGAGUAAUUUGGAUGAAUUCAAUAACUGGCUCCAAAUUCGCCAAAGCAACUUUUGCUGCUAUCGCCAAGACUCCUAGUUGACUCCUAACUUGUGGGCCGAUAUGCCUCUUAUCAAGACUCCUUACCAAGAGUAUUCGGAUUUCCUCGCGACCAGCAAAAAUGUUGCUGAAUGAAUGUGAUUUUGCUUAUACAUAAUAAAAUCACGUCAAUAGUAAAAAAUUAUCCAACCAAGAAAUUGGCAACAAUUCAGUAGGCAUCGAAUUUAUGAAGGUUAUUUUGUGUGCCAUUCACAUUUUGAUAAAAAAUAUCAUCUUCCAGGAAGCCAUCGUGGUCUUACUUGCAAUGCCAUACCUACAAUCAGUAUUCCAGGUAAUUUUAUCGAAUUACUCAAUUUUAUUCAUAUUUAAACCCCUUAAAUUUUUGUUCCAUGUGUACUGUCCAAUGGAGCUGCAGUAUAUUCUGGUUUAAACGAUACUAAGAAUUAGGCGUUACAUAGUUAGUAUAUAUUUCAGUAAUAGUUAUAGGAUGUAGUAUGUUUCUAGUCUGUUGGUUUUUGAAUUCUGAUGAACAUUUGAUUUUUUGUAGGUACUGUAUGCACUGAUUGAUUCGCUCAAUGUAUCAAAGAUUCGAAAUACACAGGGUAAGUUUUUGAAGGAACCAAUAACCACAAAAUCAGAACAUGAAAUCUUUUGGAAAAAAUCAAUAAAAUUUUUUGAAAACAUGUAUUUUAUGAUGAAAAAAAAAAUUUAAAAAAAUUUUAUUUUGACUUUAAAAGCUUUCGUUUACUUUAAGAGGAGGUUGUUAACUGAAAAAAAUUUCAAGUAUAUCUUGACUGGUGCUUUCAAUCAAGAUUGCCUUGAAAAUUUUUUCAGUUAUAUCCGAGGGCAUGGUGUAAGGAACACUAAUCCAAAUAUUGGCCAGUUUAUGUCCUCUUUCAAAUGCCUUACUUUGAAUAACUUCAUGUCCUCCCAUUCUGUAGGUUCCAACUGUGAAGAGGAUUUGACAUCACAUUGUUUGGAUAAUGUAAAAUCAUUUGUUUUAUCAAAAUUUCCUUUACCUCAAAAUGUUGUGCUUGAAGAUUUAAAUAUAGUUAUUCCGAAAUUAAUAGUCCUUGAACAAAAAUCAAAAUUUAGUGGAUGUACUUUAGUUUAUAUGUGUGGAUUCAUUUGUAAAAUUUCAUUUAAAUAUAAAUUGAUCAAACAAUGUGAUAAGUGUAAAAAAAAUUUAACCUUUAACAAUGAAGAAUUGGGGGACAUGGAUUUUAUUCAGGUAAGGCAGUAUAAACACGGAAAGUUGACAAAACCUGGGCAAUGUGUAUCAUUUUCAUUUCGGCAUUCUCUAAAUUACCUUUUCUAUAUUAUUCCGCGAAUUUGUGAAAAAAAAAACAUUUCCCUUUAUUUAAAAUCGUUUUUAAUGAAAUAUUUGGACUUCAAAAUGUUAAAUUGUAAUGAACAUAUGUUGGGGGAAAAAGUAUGUGAGACAAUAAUAAGGUGUUCCUUGCACUGGUGGUGCAAGCAGGUAAACGAAAUUAUGAGUGGUACUGACACAAAAUUUUCCAAAUUCCUUCUAACUUCCCCUAGUGAAGAAUUAAUUGAUCCUAU